GCAGCAGUGGCUCAGAGGGUAGAGUGGGUUGUCUGGCAAGUGGAAGGUUGCUGGUUCAAUCCCAGGCUCCUCCUA